rnacentral:rRNA from 1 species
CAGCAGCCGCGGUAACACCAGCAGCCCAAGUGGUGGUCGCGAUUAUUGGGCCUAAAGCGCUCGUAGCCGGGCCGGUAAGUCCCUUGUGAAAUCGGACGGCCUAACCGUUCGGCGUGCAAGGGAUACUGUCGGUCUUGAGGCCGGGAGACGUCCGAGGUACUCCGGGGGUAGCGGUGAAAUGUUCUGAUCCUCGGGGGACCACCGGUGGCGAAGGCGUUCGACGAGAACGGGCCUGACGGUGAGGGGCGAAGGCUAGGGGAGCAAACGGGAUUAGAUACCCCAGUAGUCCCUGUCUCCUUAU